AGAACUUAGCAGAGAUGCUUUGGUGCCUUUCGGGGAACUCUGAGACAGGUGCUGCAUGGCUGUCGUCAGCUCGUGUUGUGAAAUGUUGGGUUAAGUCCCGCAACGAGCGCAACCCUUAUCCUUUGUUGCCAGCGGUUAGGCCGGGAACUCAAAGGAGACUGCCAGUGAUAAACUGGAGGAAGGUGGGGAUGACGUCAAGUCAUCAUGGCCCUUACGAGUAGGGCUACACACGUGCUACAAUGGCGCAUACAAGAGAAGCGACCUCGCGAGAGCAAGCGGACCUCAUAAAGUGCGUCGUAGUCCGGAUUGGAGUCUGCAACUCGACUCCAUGAAGUCGGAAUCGCUAGUAAUCGUGGAUCAGAAUGCCACGGUGAAUACGUUCCCGGGCCUUGUACACACCGCCCGUCACACCAUGGGAGUGGGUUGCAAAAGAAGUAGGUAGCUUAACCUUCGGGAGGGCGCUUACCACUUUGUGAUUCAUGACUGGGGUGAAGUCGUAACAAGGUAAGCGUAGUGCU
rnacentral:rRNA from 1 species